GCAUGCAUGUUGUGCUUCUAUUAUUAGCAAAAGAGAAAAAAAGUACGGGCUACUACUGAACACAAGCAAAAGCAGAUCAUCCACAUCCACGCCUAGGCACCUAGGCAAGCAUAUAUGAUGCGCGCGUAGCUAGAAUGCUAUAUAUAGGCAUCGUCGUCUCAGCAUGGUCGAUCUUAUCGUAUGGCCGGCCGACGAGCUAGCUAGAAGAGAGGUGCGAAAGUGAUUCCAUGUCACAUGCAAAGGUUACACGUGUGAUACCAAGUUACAUGCCCGUUAGGAGUCGUUUUCACCCUCCGACGCGAGGGGCAUCUUUCUUCGUGCCUUCCUGUUGAUCCUUCUUCAUCCUGCAACAGCUUGUAAAAUAAAAAGAAAAGGCAGCAGAAACACGGA
rnacentral:lncRNA from 7 species